rnacentral:rRNA from 1 species
GGGACCUAAGCCGAGGCGAGAAGCGUAGGCGAUGGACAACAGGUUGAAAUUCCUGUACCGGAUCAAGUCGAUCGAGCGAAGGAGCGACGCAGGAGGGCACAUGAUCGCGCGGGUGGAAGAGCGCGUCCAAGUGCGUAUGUUGCUGCAGAGGAAAACCCCUGCAGCUAAAAGCAGAGACAUGAUGGGGAGUUAAAGGGAACUUUGACGAACUCAUGAAUCCCACACUGCCAAGAAAAACUUCUAGCGAGACAAGAUCCGCCCGUACCGUAAACCGACACAGGUAGGCGGGGAGAGAAUCCUAAGGUGCGCGGGAAAACCCUCGUUAAGGAACUCGGCAAAUUGCAUCCGUAACCUAGGGAGAAGGAUGGCCCCCGGUCAGUGAAGAGCAGAAACGCUCAGAGCUAAAAGGGGCGGCAGAAAAGAGGCCCAAGCAACUGUUUACCAAAAACACAGGUGCCUGCGAAAGCGAAAGCUGAAGUAUAGGUGCUGACGCCUGCCCGGUGCCGGAAGGUUAAGGAGAGAAGUUAGCGAAAGCGAAGCAUCGAACUGAAGCCCCGGUGAACGGCGGCCGUAACUAUAACGGUCCUAAGGUAGCGAAAUUCCUUGUCGGGUAAGUUCCGACCCGCAUGAAAGGCGUAAUGAUUUGGGCACUGUCUCAACGAGGGGCCCGGUGAAAUUGAAAUACCUGUGAAGAUGCAGGUUACCCGCGACUGGACAGAAAGACCCCAUGGAGCUUCACUGCAGCUUGAGAUUGAAUCCCGGUGACAGAUGCACAGGAUAGGUGGGAGGCGCCGAAGCAUUGCCCUAGGGCGGUGCGGAGCCGAUGUUGGGAUACCACCCUUCUGUUGCUGAGAUUCUAACGCGAGGAGUAACGACCCUGCGGACCCUCUCAGGCAGGCGGUUUGACUGGGGCGGUCGCCUCCGAAAGAGUAACGGAGGCGCCCAAAGGUUCCCUCAGGCCGGACAGAAACCGGCCGAAGAGUGCAAAGGCAGAAGGGAGCUUGACUGCGAGACCCACAAGUCGAGCAGAGACGAAAGUCGGGCUUAGUGAUCCGGUGGUACUGGGUGGAAAGGCCAUCGCUCAACGGAUAAAAGCUACCCUGGGGAUAACAGGCUAAUCUCUCCCAAGAGUUCAUAUCGACGGGGAGGUUUGGCACCUCGAUGUCGGCUCAUCACAUCCUGGGGCUGAAGUAGGUCCCAAGGGUUGGGCUGUUCGCCCAUUAAAGUGGUACGCGAGCUGGGUUCAAAACGUCGUGAGACAGUUUGGUUCAUAUCCAUCGCGGGCGCAAGAAGUUUGAGAGGAGCUGCUCCUAGUACGAGAGGACCGGAGUGGACGGAUCAACGGUGUCCCAGUUGUCACGCCAGUGGCACGGCUGGAAAGCCGCAUCCGGGAAGGAUAAACGCUGAAAGCAUCUAAGCGCGAAGCCAACCUCAAGAUGAGACUUCUCAUCAGCAAUGAGUAAGACCCCUUACAGACGAUGAGGUAGAUAGGUUAUGAGUGGAAGAGCCGCAAGGCUUGGAGCGACAUAAAACUAAUAGGUCGAGGUCUUAACUUA